rnacentral:rRNA from 1 species
CAGCCGCCGCGGUAAUACGUAGGGAGCGAGCGUUGUCCGGAUUUACUGGGUGUAAAGGGUGCGUAGGCGGGUUUGCAAGUCAGGCGUGAAAUACCGAUGCUUAACAUCGGGGCUGCGCUUGAAACUGUAGAUCUUGAGUGAAGUAGAGGCAAGCGGAAUUCCUAGUGUAGCGGUGAAAUGCGUAGAUAUUAGGAGGAACACCAGUGGCGAAGGCGGCUUGCUGGGCUUUAACUGACGCUGAGGCACGAAAGCGUGGGGAGCAAACAGGAUUAGAUACCCUGGUAGUCCACGCCGUAAACGUUGAUAGCUAGGUGUGGGGGGACUGACCCCCUCCGUGCCGGAGUAAACACAAUAAGCUAUCCACCUGGGGAGUACGACCGCAAGGUUGAAACUCAAAGGAAUUGACGGGGGCCCGCACAAGCAGUGGAGUAUGUGGUUUAAUUCGAAGCAACGCGAAGAACCUUACCAGGUCUUGACAUCCGACUAACGAGGCAGAGAUGCGUCAGGUGCCCUUCGGGGAAAGUCGAGACAGGUGGUGCAUGGCC